rnacentral:rRNA from 1 species
UGAGUACGAGACGCUAAGGCGUCGAAGUAGUGUAUGUCAUACUUCCAAGAAAAGCUUGCACUGUCAUAGAUAAAAAACGCCUGUACCAUAACCGACACAGGUGGGUAGGUAGAGUAUACUAAGGGGCGCGAGAUAACUCUCUCUAAGGAACUCGGCAAAAUAACUCCGUAACUUCGGGAGAAGGAGUGCCUUAUUCGUAAGGUUGCAAUAACAAGAUCCAAGCAACUGUUUAUCAAAAACACAGGUCUCCGCUAAGUCGUAAGACGAUGUAUGGGGGCUGACGCCUGCCCAGUGCCAGAAGGUUAAAGAAGUUGGUUAGCAAUUGCGAAGCUGAUAACUGAAGCCCUGGUGAACGGCGGCCGUAACAAUAACGGUCCUAAGGUAGCGAAAUUCCUUGUCGGGUAAGUUCCGACCCGCACGAAAGGCGUAAUGAUUUGGAUACUGUCUCGGAGAGGGGCUCGGUGAAAUAGACUUGUCUGUGAAGAUGCGGACUACCUGCACCAGGACAGAAAGACCCUAUGAAGCUUUACUGUAACUUGAAAUUGAAGUUGGACUUUAUUCGCGCAGUAUAGGUGGGAGGCGUUGAUUAUAAUCUUGUGGGAUUAUUGGAGCCAUCAGUGAGAUACCACUCUUGUAAUGUUAGAUUUCUAACUUUGAAUCAUUAUCUGGUCAAAGAACAGUUUCAGGCGGGCAGUUUGACUGGGGCGGUCGCCUCCUAAACGGUAACGGAGGCGUACAAAGGUUUCCUCUGAACGGUUAGAAAUCGUAUCUAGAGUGUAAAGGCAUAAGGAAGCUUGACUGUGAGACCUACAAGUCGAGCAGGGACGAAAGUCGGUCUUAGUGAUCUACGGUACUGAGUGGAAAGGCCGUCACUCAACGGAUAAAAGUUACUCUAGGAUAACAGGCUGAUCUCCCCCAAGAGUUCACAUCGACGGGGAGGUUUGGCACCUCGAUGUCGGCUCAUCGCAUCCUGGGGCGGUAGUACGUCCCAAGGGUUGGGCUGUUCGCCCAUGAAAGCGGUACGCGAGCUGGGUUCAGAACGUCGUGAGACAGUUCGGUCCAUAUCCGGUGUAGGCGUUAGAAUAUUGAGAGGAGCCUUCUUUAGUACGAGAGGACCGAGAAGGACAUACCUCUGGUGUACCAGUUAUCGUGCCAACGGUAAACGCUGGGUAGCUAUGUAUGGAGUGGAUAACCGCUGAAAGCAUCUAAGUGGGAAGCCCACCUCAAGAUAAGUAUUCUC